rnacentral:tRNA from 1 species
UUAAUAAAAGUGAAAAAUCACAUUCAGUUUCGGCCUGAAAAAUUGAAAUUAAAUUUCUUAUUUUA